UCAAGUGUUUUCUCCGAUUCGAGGCGAUGUCCGACUCUGAAUUCCCGCCGCCGUUGCCGGUUCAGUUCACAGUAUCUCGAUUCGUUUAGUUUUACAAUCUGGAGUCUAAGUUUGAGUUGAACCAUUCAUCAUAUAAGACUUCCCGCAGGUUUCUAUGGAUUUCGAAUUUCCUGGCAGAUUCUAAUAUUCGGCGAACUCAACUGGAGAUCAGGUACACGUUUUAAUAGCUAAUUUUGACUGGAUCAAGUUGAUCCAGGUUGGAGUUACGCUCGCUGAUUAGGAAGGUAAUCUUCCGGAUUUGGGCACGGACAUGUAGUUUAAUUUUAGGGAUUUACUAAAUUAUGUGAGGGUGUUCUUGGUGCCUAUGGUUUCUCGAUGAGAUUCUUCCCCGAUUAGCACGGCGGCGUUAACAGGGUUUGACUAAAUUCUUAAUGUGAAGCGUGAAAUCGGGAGGAGUUAUAUGGUCGUCUCAGAUAGCUUGGUGACCUUGAGUGCGAAGUUGAGGGAAGUGUACUUUAACAAUACUAAUCUUGAUAAGUAUGCUGGUAUUUUGUAUUGUUUAGAGCAUUUGUCUACAGCUAGAAAAUUUUCAUUUUAACAGUACAUAUCUUCCUGAGCGAUGACUUGUACGCAUCAUUCCUAUCAAUUCCAUUUUAGUUAUGAACUCACGACUGUCUUCCUGAGCGACAAUUUGCAUUCAGUUGGCUAAUAUUUAUGUUUUUCAACCACCCAGUUGCUCCUAAAUCUGUCGAAAUAUAAAUGUUUGAAGGGUAUUGAUCAUUGAUAGGGUAAUGGAGGUUGUGAGAUUAUAGGUAAUAUCGAGGCAUGGAUUUAAUGUGGCAUAGCUAGGGCAGUGGAGUUGUACCCUGGUUUUAACGGUUGCAAUUUUUUUUCUCUUUUGAGUUAGAAGAUGAUAUGUGGGGUGAUUAAGACGAGGAAAACAUUUGGGGCGUUGGAUUACAGCACCCUAAAUUCUGAAAACUGACCUAAUGCAUCACAAGGCUGGUGGCCAAGUAUAGUGAUAGGCGGAGAAUCACAAAAGUUUUCAAGUGUAGGCAUGUGAAGACGGGGGCGGGCGUGAAGGGUAGUUUGCUUUGUAGAGCAGGGCCUUUAAUUUUUUUUGGUAGUUAGAAUGAGGGUUACGUAAGGGAGGGCUGUUAUAGAGGGAGCGUUUGUGAGACGAGGGUAUCUUUUUUCUGCAUUUUUUGGCUUGGACAUUCUCUUUAGUGAAUCUGGGAGAGGUGGGAAACUCCCAAAUUUCUCCUUUGUUCCUUGUUGAUAAUUAAAUUGUUGGCUUAGGCCUAACAAUUAGGUCUAUGCAUUUGUCAACUUUCAUUCUUGAAGUAAACUCCUGAUUUUUUGCUUGAUAUUUUGGUUUGCUAUUAACUAUUAGCUCUUCUAGUCUCCUUAGUCAUUCGUUCCUUCAUUGUAUUAUUCAAGAUAACAAAUAUUGAAUGUGCACAAAUAUCUUUUAAGGUGGAAAUGUAAAGAAGGUUAAAUUACAAAUUUUGUCCCUAUUGGAGAAAGUUAGAAUUCAUCCAAAACCAUAGGGACCAAAUUUGUACUUUAACAUUUAAAGAAUUUGGUUUUAGAUGAAAUUUGUAGCUGUUGGGGUAUAAAAAUUGGAUCUGGUGCACUGCUAGUAGAAAAAAGGAGAAUAAAAGAGGGGAGUUUUGCAUAGUAUGUUUGUUACAAUCCCUUAACAUGUUCUUAAUGUUUCUAGCAUCUUUUACAUUGAAGAUUUAAAUUGUACCCGAUAGAGACUAAUGUAACCUUUGGCGUAAAGUAUCUGCAAUCAGACAUGGUGACAAUUCUUUUGGAUUAUUACUGCAACAACCUUCUCAGAACACUAGGACCUCCUGAUUUUGUAUCGCUAAAUCUAAUUGUUUGUUUUAUCCAUUCUAGUCUAUCCUCUGAAAUCUGGAAAUGAUACGAGGGUUAAACUUCAAGGUCCGUUGAUGAUGCUCCUUUGAAUUUCAAUUUUGCAUAUCCUUGCCAUCAAAUCUUUUUUUUUUCCUUGAGUCGAACAAAUGAAGGGGUUUGAGCCUUCAACUCCAAGAGAAGAAGUAAAUUCCUUUUAACAUUUUCAUCAGCAAUAUUUUAAAAAUCAAGGGGCUGAUUUUUUACUCAAGUAAAAAGUUAAAAGAGCCAAUGGAUUCUAUCAUUGAUGAUAAUUGUGAUGUUGAGAUUUGAGAACGACCAGGAAUCUCUAUUCUAGAAGUGACAAUAGAUGGAGGUUGAGGCUUAUGGCUUGUAUGCCUAACCCCUUUGGAAGGAGAUCUUGAUGCGAACUUUAGUUUGAAAAUGUUGGUCAUGGAUGGCAUCCAAUGCUUAGAAGAAACCUCAAUGACAGGAAACUUUGGGAUCAGCUUCUUGCAGACUUGUGAUAGAACCCAAAUGUAUUGAUAGGAUUGCUGUUAGGGUAGAAUUACAAACAUGGCUAGGGAAUUGAAGGUAUAUUAGUAAUUAGCUAAGGAAGUUGUCAGGGUGGUUUGUUAUAAAUAGGGUGCGGGGAAAGGGUAGACAAUUGUUUAGUUGGUCGAGGACUUGAGUGAUCUCAAGAACGAGAGGGUCCAAGUACCUCGAAUGCUUGGAGGGUUAUAUUGUAUUUCCAUUAUAUAUAUAUUUCAAAACAUUUAGGUUCUAUCAACUUUCUAGAAUUCUUGUUACCAAAAUAAAUGAUUGGAGAAUAUCAUUAGUGAAGUAA